rnacentral:rRNA from 1 species
CGGGGUGAGUAAUGCCUAGGAAUCUGCCUGGUAGUGGGGGACAACGUUUCGAAAGGAACGCUAAUACCGCAUACGUCCUACGGGAGAAAGCAGGGGACCUUCGGGCCUUGCGCUAUCAGAUGAGCCUAGGUCGGAUUAGCUAGUUGGUGAGGUAAUGGCUCACCAAGGCGACGAUCCGUAACUGGUCUGAGAGGAUGAUCAGUCACACUGGAACUGAGACACGGUCCAGACUCCUACGGGAGGCAGCAGCG